UGAUUCAAGUUUUCACAGAAGAAAUGACUGAGGAUAUAAAAACAAGUGAAAUCAAAGGUUUCUCCCUGCACUUGCCUUGCUUGGGCACAAAGCCAUGCACAACUCCAGGGGUGCUGACCACACGGCUGCCAGUGUGGGUGAUGGGCUUGGGGCCCUCCACACACAAACUGUACAUGGCACCUCAGACUGUACAGGGCGGUAGGCUCUGACUGAUACUAUGGCAUGAACAAAAUCAUGAAACUUGAUUGCUGAAACUUGGUCCACUCUAUCUGACACAUGAUGAGAUUCGGUGGAGUCAUUCACUGUAUGAAUGAACUCAAAUGAAGCCGAGAUUCGGCCAAGGUCAAAGCAGCGAGCAGAGCAGCCCGCAGGUCUGGCAGUUCCCGGGCGAGUUCUGAUCCUGACUCCUACCUCCACAUCACCCCUCAUUUUGGGCGGCCUGUGGACUUGCCGGUCUCUCCACCAGAACUACGAUCUGGCACAAUUUCGGACAUAAAGUCAUCGUCCAUAUCACCAGCUACCGAGGAGGAACCACCCACCUUCCGCGAGGCGCCGUGCAGGUCGCACAGCAGUACGCAGGGCUCGGAGUCCGACAACCUGUCUCCGAGGAGCGCACGAGCGAACCAGAAACACGCCGCGAGUGCAAGGGGUCGGCUGGGAGACGCCUCCCUGGAGACCUCGGCACGUCGGGCAGCGGGCGCCGCGGGCCACGCCGCAGCCGAGCGAGCACAGCUUCCCCGGGCAGCGUCCCGGGCCGGCUCCGGAGCUCCAGCCGCCGCCCCGCCCGGCUCUGCGGCCACGCCUCCACCUCGGAGUUCUUUCCGCUUUCCCGGUCCGAGCGUUCGCUGGGCUCCAGCCGCCGCCAGGGGGGCCUCCGUCCGCGCGGCCGCGGGCGGCGGGUCCCAUCCCUCCCCGGCCCCUCCCUCCGCCCUCCCUCACUCUUCAAACUUUUUUUCCACCCUUUAAACUUCACUCAUCCCAGUGCCCGCCUCCUCCCCCGCCCCCAGCCCAUCAGCGGCCCGCGCUGUCGCCGAGGGCCCGCCCCCUGCCCGCCGGGGGCCAAUCGCCGGCGAGGGCGUCGAGAGCCGGGGCUGGCGUCCAGGCGCGGGCCUGUGACGGCAGCGC
rnacentral:lncRNA from 12 species